GCGAAUGUAGCUCAGCUUGGUUAGAGCAUCAGAUUGUGGAUCUGAGUGUCGCGGGUUCGAAUCCCGUCAUUCGCCCCA
rnacentral:tRNA from 1 species